GAUGAACGCUAGCGGGAGGCCUAACACAUGCAAGUCGAACGGGAUUGAGAGCUUGCUCUCAUGAGAGUGGCGCACGGGUGAGUAACGCGUAUGCAACCUACCUUUAACUGAGGGAUAGCCCAUAGAAAUGUGGAUUAAUACCUCAUAGUUCUGCGAGACCGCAUGGUUUUGCAGAUAAAGCUCCGGCGGUUAAAGAUGGGCAUGCGUGACAUUAGCUAGUUGGUGAGGUAACGGCUCACCAAGGCUACGAUGUCUAGGGGUUCUGAGAGGAUGAUCCCCCA
rnacentral:rRNA from 1 species